AGUGAACGCUUGCGGUAGGCCUAACACAUGCAGGUCGAACGGCAGCACAGUAAGAGCUUGCUCUUACGGGUGGCGAGUGGCGGACGGGUGAGGAAUACAUCGGAAUCUACUUUUUCGUGGGGGAUAACGUAGGGAAACUUACGCUAAUACCGCAUACGACCUACGGGUGAAAGCAGGGGAUCUUCGGACCUUGCGCGAUUGAAUGAGCCGAUGUCGGAUUAGCUAGUUGGCGGGGUAAAGGCCCACCAAGGCGACGAUCCGUAGCUGGUCUGAGAGGAUGAUCAGCCACACUGGAACUGAGACACGGUCCAGACUCCUACGGGAGGCAGCAGUGGGGAAUAUUGGACAAUGGGCGCAAGCCUGAUCCAGCCAUACCGCGUGGGUGAAGAAGGCCUUCGGGUUGUAAAGCCCUUUUGUUGGGAAAGAAAAGCAGCAGGUUAAUACCCCGCUGUUCUGACGGUACCCAAAGAAUAAGCACCGGCUAACUUCGUG
rnacentral:rRNA from 1 species